CCCAACUAUCCCUAUUAAUCAUUACGUCGAUCCUAGAAACCAACAAAAUAGAAUCAAACGUCCUAUUCCGUUAUUCCAUGCUAAUGUAUUCAAGCGUGAGCCUGCUUUAAACACUCUAAUUUUUUCAAGGUAACAGUCCUAAUUCCCCGUAACACCAAAUUAAUGGCAUUAUAGUUUGUCAGAAGAGAGAAACCGAUUAUACCAGUACGUACAAAAGCACGACCAGUAAACCGGUCUCGAAAUUCAACUACGAGCUUUUUAACUGCAACAACUUUAAUAUACGCUAUUGGAGCUGGAAUUACCGCGGCUGCUGGCACCAGACUUGCCCUCCAA
rnacentral:misc_RNA from 1 species